UCGAUCAAAUAGAAGGGGGCGACCAAGAGUUCAUUCCCCAAACCCUAGUUCUUACAAAUCAUUCAAAUUGAAGGAUUAAAUCAGUUCCAAAGCGAAAUCAGAGCCUAGUUUCGUGAUCUCCUCAUCAAAGGGAUCAUAAGGUAAGGAAUCCGGAUCGUCAAGUGGACAAGCCGGUGGAGAUACGCGUUUGAAGAGGGUGCUAUAAAGGUGAUAUUGGAGACAUUCCGGAUGGCGAUCAAGCAUGUUUGAAGAACUGAACACGAACUUUUGAAGCUUCUGUAAUUAUCUA